GAUGAACGCUGGCGGCGUGCUUAACACAUGCAAGUCGAGCGAAGCACUUAAGUGGAUCUCUUCGGAUUGAAACUUAUUUGACUGAGCGGCGGACGGGUGAGUAACGCGUGGGUAACCUGCCUCAUACAGGGGGAUAACAGUUAGAAAUGGCUGCUAAUACCGCAUAAGCGCACAGGACCGCAUGGUCUGGUGUGAAAAACUCCGGUGGUAUGAGAUGGACCCGCGUCUGAUUAGCUAGUUGGAGGGGUAACGGCCCACCAAGGCGACGAUCAGUAGCCGGCCUGAGAGGGUGAACGGCCACAUUGGGACUGAGACACGGCCCAGACUCCUACGGGAGGCAGCAGUGGGGAAUAUUGCACAAUGGGGGAAACCCUGAUGCAGCGACGCCGCGUGAAGGAAGAAGUAUCUCGGUAUGUAAACUUCUAUCAGCAGGGAAGAAAAUGACGGUACCUGACUAAGAAGCCCCGGCUAACUACGUGCCAGCAGCCGCGGUAAUACGUAGGGGGCAAGCGUUAUCCGGAUUUACUGGGUGUAAAGGGAGCGUAGACGGAAGAGCAAGUCUGAUGUGAAAGGCUGGGGCUUAACCCCAGGACUGCAUUGGAAACUGUUUUUCUAGAGUGCCGGAGAGGUAAGUGGAAUUCCUAGUGUAGCGGUGAAAUGCGUAGAUAUUAGGAGGAACACCAGUGGCGAAGGCGGCUUACUGGACGGUAACUGACGUUGAGGCUCGA
rnacentral:rRNA from 1 species